rnacentral:rRNA from 1 species
UACGUAGGGGGCAAGCGUUUGUCCGGAUUUAUUGGGCGUAAAGAGCGUGUAGGCGGCCAAGCAGGUCCGCUGUGAAAACUCGAGGCUCAACCUCGAGACGUCGGUGGAAACCGUUUGGCUAGAGUCCGGAAGAGGAGAGUGGAAUUCCCGGUGUAGCGGUGAAAUGCGCAGAUAUCGGGAAGAACACCCGUGGCGAAGGCGGCUCUCUGGGACGGUACUGACGCGUGAGACGCGAAAGCGUGGGGAGCGAACAGG